CAUUACUGAAGACACUAGGGUUUUGAGACUGCGUUCAAAAUGGGACGUGUGCUCGGCCCUUACUCUUUAUCCACAUACACCUCUGUGCACUAUGGGAUGUUAAAUCCCCUUUUUCACAUAAAAACCGAGUUAUAUGCAUGUUUAUUUUAUGCUCUACGGAGUAAUAUACAACUUUCAACAACGGAUCUCUUGGCUUUCGCAUCGAUGAAGAACGCAGCGAACGUGCGAAACGUAAUGUGAAUUGCAGAAUUCAGUGAAUCAUCGAAUCUUUGAACGCAUCUUGCGCUCCUUGGCAUUCCGAGGAGCAUGCCUGUUUGAGUGUCGUGAAAUACUCAAUUUCAAAUCUUUUUGUUUGAAAUUGGAKUUGGAUGUUGUUGUGGGUACACACAACUCGUCCUAAAUGUAUUAGCGAAUCUGCCUUGAUCACGCACAAUGUGAUAAGAAAAAAGCAUUGUCAGGUCGAGUCAAAGUUUGCUUCCAACUGUCGAAAGACAAAAUUCAUUUAUGUCAUUUGACCUCAAAUCAGGUAGGACUACCCGCUGAACUUAAGAUAU
rnacentral:rRNA from 1 species